GAAAUGCGAUAAUUAAUGUGAAUUGCAGAAUUCAGUGAAUCAUCGAGUCUUUGAACGCACAUUGCGCCCCCUGGUAUUCCGGGGGGCAUGCCUGUCCGAGCGUCAUUGCUGCCCUCAAGCACGGCUUGUGUGUUGGGCUUCCGUCCCUGGCAACGGGGACGGGCCCAAAAGGCAGUGGCGGCACCAUGUCUGGUCCUCGAGCGUAUGGGGCUUUGUCACCCGCUCCCGUAGGUCCAGCUGGCAGCUAGCCUCGCAACCAAUCUUUUUAACCAGGUUGACCUCGGAUCAGGUAGGGAUACCCGCUGGACUUAAGC
rnacentral:misc_RNA from 1 species